rnacentral:lncRNA from 1 species
ACGGAUGGAGGACUGGGAUCCGAUGAGGCGGAGGGGGCAGUGGCCGAUAGUGGGAUGGAGACGAACUGCUGGGUCUGAGGCGGCGGCGCGUGGGAAAGGUUGGAGGGAGCGAGUGAAGCUGCGGCAGAAUUGAGGAAGACGAAAUUGGGGUGCAGCGGAGGGGGCGGUGGCGCGUCCGAGUAUCCAACGUAGGCAGGGUUCAUGAGAAUGAGAGUCUGUAACCCAUCAGCUUGGAUUUCUGAAUUCCCAUGAAAGUACGUCG